GACGAACGCUGGCGGCGUGCUUAACACAUGCAAGUCGAACGGAAAGGCCUCUUUCGGGGGGUACUCGAGUGGCGAACGGGUGAGUAACACGUGAGUAACCUGCCCUUGACUUUGGGAUAACUUCAGGAAACUGGGGCUAAUACCGGAUAGGAGCUCCUGCUGCAUGGUGGGGGUUGGAAAGUUUCGGCGGUUGGGGAUGGACUCGCGGCUUAUCAGCUUGUUGGUGGGGUAGUGGCUUACCAAGGCUUUGACGGGGAGCCGGCCUGAGAGGGUGACCGGCCACAUUGGGGCUGGGAUUCGGCCCAGACUCCUACGGGGGGCAGGAGUGGGGAAUAUUGCACAAUGGGUGGGAGCCUGAUGCAGCAACGCCGUGUGCGGGAUGACGGCCUUCGGGUUGUAAACCGCUUUCGCUCAUGACGAAGCUUUGUGUGACGGUAGUGGGUAAAGAAGCACCGGCUAACUACGUG
rnacentral:rRNA from 1 species